ACCCAUGACCUCAACGGCUCGUGCCUGAGGUGUUUUUUUGGGAGACGGGGAGAGGACGGGUUUGUGGGUGUGAGUUUGUGCACGUAUUUAAGCCGCUCUCAGAGUGUUCAAAGAUUUGCUGAGUCAACAAUUAUCCUUCCUAUUCAUCGGCUGAAGUAUCAGAACCGGGUGAUAAAAAUCUGUCCUCUCUCCAACCCCAAAUCACACAGACGGCAACAGAGGCAUGCUUCAGGCCCGGUCUGGGAGAUGAACAGACGGGCACAGACCUUUGAAAGAACAGUAUUGUGAGGUCACAUUCUUCCCAAAUGCGAGCGGGAGCCAAGUCAGUAGCUGGCGGAAUUACGGCAUGAAUCAUACCCAUUGUGAUGCCUACUCCGAGAUGAGAACAUGGAAAGGAAUUGAGAACGGCUAGUCUUAUCAGUCCCUUGACAUGGACUGCGGGUAGCCAAGUGUCCGGAGUGACAGGACAACUUUCCCAUCCCCGGUCCCGAGCUCGGGCAAUGGGCCCGCGAACAUCGAGCAGAAGAAUUCCACCGUCUCCAUAUGUUGUUACUUAAGGGCGUGCUGCAGCCAAGCAGAGUGUGCUUUUCCAUGCACGCCCAUUUUCCUGUCUGUGCACUUCCUCCCCUCGCUGUUACCCAGAGAUCUUUGUGGUGGGUCCUGGAGUUCAGGCAAUAUUAGGUUGCACCUCUUAAAACAUGUCAGCUUUGCGGUGAAAAUUAAAGAAUGGAAAAAAUGAUGAAACGUAAUGUUUUAUUGAUCCUUUUCUUCAAGUUUCAACUAUUAAACAGAGAGAAAGGGGAAUGGAAAGACGGUUCUGAGAGAGGCGUGCGAGCGGGCCCAUCACCACUUGCGAAGGGUGGUUUUCGGCAACUUGGAUUUAUUAAGCAUGGAGAAUUUGCAUGGAAAUUGUGUUACCUCCAGCGUCUGACUCACCGUUUGGUCUCUUUGUCGGCGCUUUGAUUUAAAGGAGCGAGCGAGUACUAAUGCUGAGCCGAAGGUUUCUGUCUUUCAGAGUUUUACAGGCACGUCUUUGUUUUCGUUCCUCCGCUGUUUUCACUUUCGCAAGUUCUUGACUUGAUGAGGAAAAAUUAUUUUACAAAGACCUCAGAACAUCAAAACAUAUGUUGAAUAUUAGGUACACUGAUACCUUGUUUGCACGUUCCAAGCAAAGGCACGGGUCCAAGAGAAGUUUGUGAACCGUGAUCGUGAUUGAAAUGCCACAUUAGAUCCAUAUUUAACUUAAACAUGUGCAUCUUCUGUUCCGUCAACACCAAAAUAAACAUGUGCAUUAACGAUCUGUUUUUCUAGGUGGCUUAGAAAACUUUUUUAUGUUUUACAGGCAAAUCCUUGUUGCUCUUUUUACUUUCACGUGUCUUUGACUUGAUGAGAAAAAAAAUGAUGAGGACCUCCAGAACAUUUAAACAUAUGUUGAAUAUUAGAUACUCAGAUACCUUGUUGACUACACAGCGAAGCCGCUUCCCCUUUGAGUCGCUAUAUCUUUAUGGCAGGCCUGAAGAGAGACAGAUCCGAGCAAGAUAUGACAAAUGAACUGUGUUCUGCAAGUUGAAAGAGAAAUGUGUUUGUCAUUUUAGUUCCAGAGGAUGAAAGAGUCAGAAAUCAACAAUGAGGCUGUGUAAUCUAAACCACUUUACAAUGGAAAGAGGCACGGUCUCUCCCAGGAUAUAAGGAGGGAAGACCGAGGUUAGGGAAUAAUCAACCGGACCGUUCCGAUCUUUCGAUAUAUGAGCUGCGUCCGCACGGAGCUCUGUCCUAAAGGAAGCAAUGAUGGAUGCACACAGCGCCAAAAAAAAUUUUUUCUACAUUUUAAAUGAAGUAAUAGUCCCUGUACAGGAAAACACUGGCAGGAAAUUUCAUGUCAGCAUUCUCUACAGACCUCGAAAACACGAGAGGAAGGAGAAAAAAGGUGGAUAUUCUUUGUAUCUGAACGCCGAUACACAUCAGAAGAGCGAGUCUCGGGCUGCUCGGGAAGUAUGUAUCUCUGCGUUCACAUGUUCUGAUCUGCUGUCUGUCAGCGGCCGGGGAAGGAGGGGGACUGACUGUACGUACGAGUCAUUGGUGGAUUCUGAGCACCAUACCUCAUAAGGCCAUGGCACAAACUCUGACCACUCCCUGUUUUAACAUGAAGGCAUUACAAAAUGUAGAGAGCUUAAGAGAUAAAAGCAAAAGAGUGUUGGUUAUAAGGGCUUACGUUAAAGGUAUCCAAAGAUUCCCAGAUGGUCUACUACCUUCUUUCUAUCCGGUAGAAAUUCGAAGUGCAGAGCGGCGCACACUCUAACGGCUGAUAUUACCCACAAGUCACCACGAGUAGGCGGAGUUUAGUGGCGCUCCACUGCAUUAAUAAUUAUAUAACUGAUGUGUCACUAAAUUAACAAUUGUAAGUAUACAGUAAACAUUACAUACAAAAUAAUGAAUGAAUGAAUACCUUAAUGGAAAAAGAGCUGUAUUUUGACGCGUGUGUGACAGGCCACAAUGUUGUCUAGGCAACAACGGCCACUUCCACUGUUAGUAUGUCCCAGUGCGUGCAAUCUCUUUGCCAUGCACUGAAAAGUACAUACUAUUCCAACACAAAAACAGUACCUACUAUUAGGGCUAGUAUAAAUAGGCGAAUUGGAACGCAGGGAUAGUUUUAGUGCCUGAUGAUAAUGAAGAAAAAAUUGGUAUAAAAAUAUUACAAACAGAAAAGUAAAAGAAACUGACUCAAAUACUAGAAUAAUAAACAACUACAUAGAAAAUCUGGUGGAUGUGUGUGUGUGGGAAAGAACAUCACACCUGAACAUGGUGAUGUCAUAUACCUGUAUGAUGCCAGUACAGUUAAGGAGGGGGGGGGGGGUCGCACAUUGGAUGAAAAGUGCAGCACCGCAUCACGCCACAUUUCUAAAAAACAAACUCAUUGUUUCCUAUUGCAACCUAUUUUAAAAAAAAAAUCAAACUAUAAGUUAUUAAAAUGUCAUAAAAAUUUGUACAGCUGCAGGGGGAAAAAUUAUGAGACCAGUCCAAAUUUUCAUUUAAUCAGCAUUUCUAGAUGUAUUGUGGCCAUUCCAGUCCAGUGUCUGUUGAAUUUCAACAAAAUCAAACCUCAGGAGUGACAAAGUCAUCCAACAGCAAUUUGAAAGACUGACAGCAUGACAAGACGCAUGAAUACUGUGAGAUGAUUCAAGGUUGUAUUGAAUAAAAGUGAAUAUGAACUUGUUUUCUUUGCAGUAUUUGAGGUAUGAAAAAAUACAGAGCAUCUUUCUGUUACUGUGACCUGUUUUGUUUUUAUUUGAAAUUUAGGAAAAAAUAUUGUUAGUAGUUCACAGAAUGAGACAAAAAUUAUCAUUUUACCUUUACACCUAUAAAUAGAAAAUAAGUUUGAAAUGAUUUUUUUUCACGGCUGUAUUAAAAUAAAAAAAAGUUCAAACUGG